rnacentral:rRNA from 1 species
AUUCUUCGGAGGAUUUCCUAUUUGACUGAGCGGCGGACGGGUGAGUAACGCGUGGGUAACCUGCCUCACACUGGGGGAUAACAGUUAGAAAUAGCUGCUAAUACCGCAUAAGCGCACGAUACCGCAUGGUAUUGCGUGAAAAACUCCGGUGGUAUGAGAUGGACCCGCGUCUGAUUAGCUAGUUGGAGGGGUAACGGCCCACCAAGGCGAUGAUCAGUAGCCGGUCUGAGAGGAUGAACGGCCACACUGGAACUGAGACACGGUCCAGACUCC